rnacentral:rRNA from 1 species
AUAACAGGUCUGUGAUGCCCUUAGAUGCUCUAGGCUGCACGCACGCUACACUAAUGUAUUCAACGAGUCUAUAGCCUUGGCCGACAAGCCCGGAUAAUCUUUGAAAUUUCAUCUUGGUGGGGAUAAAUCAUUGCAAUUGUUAGUCUUCAAUGAGGAAUUCCUAGUAAGCUUGAGUCAUCAGCUCGCGUUGACUACCUCCCUGCCCUUUGUACACACCGCCCGUUGCUCUUACAGAUUGAAUGGUCCGGUGAAGUGUUCACAUUGUGGCGACGUAGGUAGUUCACCGUCGGCAACAUCGCGAGAAAUCCAUCGAACCUUAUCAUUUAUAGGAAGGAAAAGUCGUAAUAAGGUCUCUGUAGGUGAACCUGCGAAAGGAUCAUUAUCGAAACCUGCCUUGCAGGUGAACAUGUUUACUAAUUGCAAGGGGUAGUGGGGGUCGCCAUGCCCCCAGUCCCCCGAUGUUGGCGAGAGGGGUGUGUUGGGGCUUUGCCCUCGCUUCUCUGUCAUCGGCUGUACAACCAACCUCGGCGCAGGAUGCGCCAAGGAAAAUUAAAUGAAAAGAGCAUGCUGCUAUAGGCCUCGAAAACGAUGUGCCUUAGGCACGCGUCCCCCUCUUUCGAGAACCAUAAUGACUCUCGGCAACGGAUAUCUCAGCUCUCGCAUCGAUGAAGAAUGCAGCAAAAUGCGAUACUUUGUGUGAAUUGCAAAAUCCCGUGAAUCAUCAAGUUUUUGAACGCAAGUUAUGCCUGAAGUCUUUCGGCCGAGGGCACGCCAGCCUGGGUGUCACGGAAUCGAGAGCUCCAAGUGGGCCAUUUUUGGUAAGAAGAACUGGUGAUGUGGGAUGAACUGGAAGCCGGGUUAUUGUGCCCAACUGCAUGCUAACCUAGAACCCACAAAGGGUGUUGGUCGAUUAAGACAGUAGGACGGUGGUCAUGGAAGUCGAAAUCCGCUAAGGAAUGUGCAACAACUCACCUUCUGAAUCAACUAGCCCAAAAAUGGAUGGCACUUAAGCGCGUGACCUAUACCCGGCGGUCAGGGCAAGAGCCAGGCCCCAAUGAAUAGGAGGGCGUGGCGAUCGCUACAAAACCUAAGGCGUGAGCCCGGGUAGAGCGACUGUCGAUGCAAAUCUUAGUGGUAGUAGCAAAUAUUCAAAUGAGAACUUUGAAGGGCAAAGAGGGGAAAGGUUCCAUGUGAACGGCACUUAGACAUGGGUUAGUCGAUCCUAAGAGACGGGGGAAGCCCGUCCGACAGCGCGUCCGCACGCGAACUUUGAAAGGGAAUCGGGUUAAAAUUCCCGAACCGGGACGUGGCGGCGGAUGGCAACGUCAGAGAGUCUGGAGACGUUGGCUGGGGCCUCGGGAAGAGUUAUCUUUUCUAUUUAAAAGCUCACCCACCCUGGAAACGACUCAGUCUGAGGUAGAGUCCAGCGGCUGGAAGAGCACCGCACAUCACGCGGUAUCCAGUGCGCCUCCGGCGGCCCAUGAAAAUCUGAAGGACCGAGUGCCAUCCACACCCGGUCGUACUCAUAACUACAUCAGGUGUCCAAGGUGAACAGCCUUUGGUCAAUGGAACAAUGUAGGCACAGGAAGUCGGUAAAAUGGAUCCGGGGGCCCCAGUCCCGAACCCGUCAGCUGUCGGCGGACUGCUCGAGCUGCUCCAGUGGCGAGUGCGAGUCGCCGCGUGUUAGCCGGGGGACAGACUAGGAACAGCCUCUUCGGGGGCCUUCCCCGAGUGUCAAACAGUCGACUCAGAACUGGUACGGACAAGGGGAAUCCGACUGUUUAAUUAAAACAAAGCAUUACGAUGGUCCCUACGGAUGCUCACGUAAUGUGAUUUUUGCCUAGUGCUCUAAAUGUCAAAGUGAAGAAAUUCAACCAAACGUGGGUAAACGGCAGGAGUAACUAUGACUAUCUUAAGGUAGCCAAAUGCCUCGUCAUCUAAUUAGUGACGCACAUGAAUGGAUUAAUGAGAUUCCCAGUGUCCUUGUCUACUAUCCAGCAAAACCAAAGCUAAGGGAACAGGCUUGGCGGAAUCAACAGGGAAAGUAGACCCUGUUGAGCUUGACUCUAGUCCUACUUUGUGAAAUGACUUGAGAGGUGUAGGAUAAGUGGGAGCCUUAACCGGCAACAGUGAAAUACCACUACUUUUAACGUUAUUUUACUUAUUCCGUGAAUCAGAAGCGGGGCUAUGCCCCUCCUUUUGGACCUAAGGUCGCUUUGCCAGCCGAUCCAAGCAGAAGACAUUGUCAAGUGAGGUGUUUGGCUGGGGCAGCACAUCUGUUAAAAGAUAACGCAGGUGUCCUAAGAUGCGCUCAACGAGAACAGAGAUCUCGUGUGGAACAAAAGGGUAAAAGCUCAUUUGAUUCUGAUUUCCAGUACGAAUACGAACCAUGAAAGCGUGGCCUAUCGAUCCUUUAGACCUUCGGAAUUUAAAGCUAGAGGUGUUAGAAAAGUUACCACAGGGAUAACUGGCUUGUGGCAGCCAAUCGUUUAUAGCGACGUUGCUUUUUGAUCCUUCGAUGUCGGCUCUUCCUAUCAUUGUGAAGCAGAAUUCACCAAGUGUUGGAUUAUUCACCCACCAAUCGGGAACGUGAGCUGGGUUUCGACCGUCGUGAGAUAGGUUAGUUUUACCCUACUGAUGAUUGUGUCGCAAUGGUAACUCAACGUAGUACGAGAGGAACCAUUGAUUCGCACAAUUGGUCAUCGUGCUUGGUUGGAAAGCCAGUGGCGUGAAGCUGCCGUCCGCUGGAUUAUGACUGAACGCCUCUAAGUCAGAAUCCGGGCCAGAAGCGACGCGUUGUCCGUCGCUUACCGACCAGUAGUAGGGGCCCUACGGCCCUCAAAGGCACGUGUUGUUGGCUAAGCCCUCGCAGCAAACGAGCCGCGCGGGCCGCCUUGAAUUACAAUUUCCACCGGGCGAC